rnacentral:rRNA from 1 species
GACGAACGCUGGCGGCGUGCCUAAUACAUGCAAGUUGAGCGCUGAAGGUUGGUACUUGUACCAACUGGAUGAGCAGCGAACGGGUGAGUAACGCGUGGGGAAUCUGCCUUUGAGCGGGGGACAACAUUUGGAAACGAAUGCUAAUACCGCAUAAAACCUUUAAACACAAGUUUUAAGUUUGAAAGAUGCAAUUGCAUCACUCAAAGAUGAUCCCGCGUUGUAUUAGCUAGUUGGUGAGGUAAAGGCUCACCAAGGCGAUGAUACAUAGCCGACCUGAGAGGGUGAUCGGCCACAUUGGGACUGGGACACGGCCCAAACUCCUACGGGAGGCAGCAGUAGGGAAUCUUCGGCAAUGGACGAAAGUCUGACCGAGCAACGCCGCGUGAGUGAAGAAGGUUUUCAGAUCGUAAAACUCUGUUGGUAGAGAAGAACGUUGGUGAGAGUGGAAAGCUCAUCAAGUGACGGUAACUACCCAGAAAGGGACGGCUAACUACGUG